rnacentral:rRNA from 1 species
UAGCUAGUUGGUGAGGUAAAGGCUUACCAAGGCGACGAUCUGUAGCGGGUCUGAAAGGAUGAUCCGCCACACUGGAACUGAGACACGGUCCAGACUCCUACGGGAGGCAGCAGUGGGGAAUUUUGGACAAUGGGGGCAACCCUGAUCCAGCCAUGCCGCGUGAGUGAAGAAGGCCUUCGGGUUGUAAAGCUCUUUCGGCCGGGAAGAAAUCGCAUGGGCCAAUACCCUGUGUGGAUGACGGUACCGGAAUAAGAAGCACCGGCUAACUACGUGCCAGCAGCCGCGGUAAUACGUAGGGUGCGAGCGUUAAUCGGAAUUACUGGGCGUAAAGCGUGCGCAGGCGGUUUUGUAAGACAGGCGUGAAAUCCCCGGGCUUAACCUGGGAACUGCGUUUGUGACUGCAAGGCUAGAGUACGGCAGAGGGGGGUGGAAUUCCACGUGUAGCAGUGAAAUGCGUAGAGAUGUGGAGGAACACCAAUGGCGAAGGCAGCCCCCUGGGUCGAUACUGACGCUCAUGCACGAAAGCGUGGGUAGCAAACAGGGUUAGAUACCCUGGUAGUCCACGCCCUAAACUAUGUCAACUAGGUGUUGGGUGGGUAAAACCAUUUAGUACCGUAGCUAACGCGUGAAGUUGACCGCCUGGGGAGUACGGCCGCAAGGUUAAAACUCAAAGGAAUUGACGGGGACCCGCACAAGCGGUGGAUGAUGUGGAUUAAUUCGAUGCAACGCGAAAAACCUUACCUACCCUUGACAUGCCAGGAACUUGCCAGAGAUGGCUUGGUGCCCGAAAGGGAGCCUGGACACAGGUGCUGCAUGGCUGUCGUCAGCUCGUGUCGUGAGAUGUUGGGUUAAGUCCCGCAACGAGCGCAACCCUUGUCGUUAAUUGCCAUCAUUUAGUUGGGCACUUUAACGAGACUGCCGGUGACAAACCGGAGGAAGGUGGGGAUGACGUCAAGUCCUCAUGGCCCUUAUGGGUAGGGCUUCGCACGCCAUACAAUGGUCGGUACAAAGGGUUGCCAAGCCGCGAGGCGGAGCCAAUCCCAGAAAGCCGAUCGUAGUCCGGAUUGCAGGCUGCAACUCGCCUGCAUGAAGUCGGAAUCGCUAGUAAUCGUGGAUCAGCAUGUCACGGUGAAUACGUUCCCGGGUCUUGUACACACCGCCCGUCACACCAUGGGAGCGGGUUCCGCCAGAAGUAGGUAGCCUAACCGCAAGGGGGGCGCUUACCACGGCGGGGUUCGUGACUGGGGUGAAGUCGGAACAAGGUAGCCGUAGGGGAACCUGCGGCUG